rnacentral:rRNA from 1 species
GAUUAAGCCAUGCAUGUGUAAGUAUAAAUAGUUAACUUUGAAACUGCGAAUGGCUCAUUAUAUCAGUUAUAGUUUAUUUGAUGAAGAAUACUAAUUGGAUAACCGUAGUAAUUCUAGAGCUAAUACAUGUGAUAAGUCUUGUAGACUGCAUUUAUUAGAAUGAAAACCAUAGGUUUCGGCCUAUUCGUGAGUAAUAAUAACUAAUCAUAUCGUAUGCUUAAGUAACGAUGUGUCUUUCAAGUUUCUGCCCUAUCAGCUUUCGAUGGUAGUGUAUUGGACUACCAUG